AGUCCACGCCGUAAACGAUGUCGACUUGGAGGUUGUGCCCUUGAGGCGUGGCUUCCGGAGCUAACGCGUUAAGUCGACCGCCUGGGGAGUACGGCCGCAAGGUUAAAACUCAAAUGAAUUGACGGGGGCCCGCACAAGCGGUGGAGCAUGUGGUUUAAUUCGAUGCAACGCGAAGAACCUUACCUGGUCUUGACAUCCACGGAAGUUUUCAGAGAUGAGAAUGUGCCUUCGGGAACCGUGAGACAGGUGCUGCAUGGCUGUCGUCAGCUCGUGUUGUGAAAUGUUGGGUUAAGUCCCGCAACGAGCGCAACCCUUAUCCUUUGUUGCCAGCGGUCCGGCCGGGAACUCAAAGGAGACUGCCAGUGAUAAACUGGAGGAAGGUGGGGAUGACGUCAAGUCAUCAUGGCCCUUACGACCAGGGCUACACACGUGCUACAAUGGCGCAUACAAAGAGAAGCGACCUCGCGAGAGCAAGCGGACCUCAUAAAGUGCGUCGUACUCCGGAUUGGAGUCUGCAACUCGACUCCAUGAAGUCGGAAUCGCUAGUAAUCGUGGAUCAGAAUGCCACGGUGAAUACGUUCCCGGGCCUUGUACACACCGCCCGUCACACCAUGGGAGUGGGGUUGCAAAAGAAGUAGGUAGCUUAACCUUCGGGGAGGGGCGCUUACCACUUUGUGAU
rnacentral:rRNA from 1 species